rnacentral:rRNA from 1 species
ACGGCUCAGUAACACGUGGAUAACCUGCCCUAGGGGAGGGGAUAACCCCGGGAAACUGGGGAUAAUACCCUAUAGGUUACAGAUGCUGGAAUGCCCUGUAACCAAAAGCUCCGGCGCCCUAGGAUGGAUCUGCGGCCGAUUAGGUUGUUGUUGGGGUAACGGCCCAACAAGCCCGUAAUCGGUACGGGUUGUGGGAGCAAGAGCCCGGAGUUGGAUUCUGAGACACGAAUCCAGGCCCUACGGGGCGCAGCAGGCGCGAAACCUUUACAAUGCGGGCAACCGUGAUAAGGGAACCUCGAGUGCCUGUAAACGCAGGCUGUUCAGGUGUUUAAAACGCACCUGGAGAAAGGGCCGGGCAAGACCGGCGCCAGCCGCCGCGGUAAUACCGGCGGCUCGAGUGGUGGCCGCUUUUAUUGGGCUUAAAGCGUUCGUAGCUGGGUUGUUAAGUCUCUUGGGAAAUCUGGCGGCUUAACCGUCAGGCGUCUAAGGGAUACUGGCAAUCUUGGAACCGGGAGAGGUGAGGGGUACUUCGGGGGUAGGGGUGAAAUCCUGUAAUCCUCGAGGGACCACCUGUGGCGAAGGCGCCUCACCAGAACGGCUUCGACAGUGAGGGACGAAAGCUGGGGGAGCAAACCGGAUUAGAUACCCGGGUAGUCCCAGCCGUAAACGAUGCGCGUUAGGUGUAUCGGUGACCACGAGUUACCGAGGUGCCGAAGGGAAACCGUGAAACGCGCCGCCUGGGAAGUACGGUCGCAAGGCUGAAACUUAAAGGAAUUGGCGGGGGAG